rnacentral:rRNA from 1 species
GACGAACGCUGGCGGCGUGCUUAACACAUGCAAGUCGAGCGGUAAGGCCCUUUCGGGGGUACGACGAGCGGCGAACGGGUGAGUAACACGUGGGUGACCUGCCCUCAGCUCUGGGAUAAGCCCGGGAAACUGGGUCUAAUACCGGAUAUGACUCCAUGACGCAUGUUGUGGGGUGGAAAGCCUUGUGCGGCUGAGGAUGGGCCCGCGGCCUAUCAGCUUGUUGGUGGGGUGAUGGCCACCAAGGCGACGACGGGUAGCCGGCCUGAGAGGGCGACCGGCCACACUGGGACUGAGAUACGGCCCAGACUCCACGGGAGGCAGCAGUGGGGAAUCUUGCGCAAUGGGCGAAAGCCUGACGCAGCGACGCCGCGUGAGGGAUGACGGCCU